GGGGAUGAUCGGUUUCGACGUGUGUGCUUUCCUCAGGGGAAGCGGGCCGAGAACGCUGAGUUAUCUCGUUAACGCCCUCAGCAAACCAAUAGGUGCCGAUUCCAAGCGCACCGACUUCGCCCUCGCUGCCUAAGCGAGCCCCGAAGUCCGUCAGCCCAGGCUAGUUCCCGUCCUGGUCCCUGGCGUCAUCUAGGGAACUUGCUCCACCUCCUCGUCACCGGGGGGUGGGGGACUCUUAGGUGACUGGGGCUAUCGCACAGCUUGUCUGAAGGUCGUGCGGGUCCGAGACACUGAACAUUCAGACUGCGCCCGGAGAAGAUCUGUCGUCGUACACGCGGACGCGGGUUCGAUUCCCGCCAUCUCCAC
rnacentral:tmRNA from 1 species